CUACCCCUGUGCACUUACUGUAGGUUGGCGUGGGCUCCUUAACGGGAGCAUUCUGCCGGCCUAUGUAUACUACAAACACUUUAAAGUAUCAGAAUGUAAACGCGUCUAACGCAUCUAUAAUACAACUUUUAGCAACGGAUCUCUUGGCUCUCGCAUCGAUGAAGAACGCAGCGAAAUGCGAUAAGUAAUGUGAAUUGCAGAAUUCAGUGAAUCAUCGAAUCUUUGAACGCACCUUGCGCUCCUUGGUAUUCCGAGGAGCAUGCCUGUUUGAGUGUCAUGGAAUUCUCAACUUAUAAAUCCUUGUGAUCUGUAAGCUUGGACUUGGAGGCUUGCUGGCCCUUGUUGGUCGGCUCCUCUUGAAUGCAUUAGCUCGAUUCCGUACGGAUCGGCUCUCAGUGUGAUAAUUGUCUACGCUGUGACCGUGAAGUGUUUUGGCGAGCUUCUAACCGUCCAUUAGGACAACUUUUUAACAUCUGACCUCAAAUCAGGUAGGACUACCCGCUGAACUUAAGCAUAUCAAUAAGCGGAGGAAAAGAAACUAACAAGGAUUCCCCUAGUAACUGCGAGUGAAGCGGGAAAAGCUCAAAUUUAAAAUCUGGCGGUCUUUGGCCGUCCGAGUUGUAGUCUGGAGAAGCGUCUUCCGCGUUGGACCGUGUACAAGUCUCUUGGAACAGAGCGUCAUAGAGGGUGAGAAUCCCGUCUUUGACACGGACUACCAAUGCUUUGUGAUGCGCUCUCAAAGAGUCGCGUUGUUUGGGAAGCAGCGCAAAA
rnacentral:rRNA from 1 species